UAAUCCGGGUUGCGGACAGUGUCUGGUGGGUAGUUUGACUGGGGCGGUCUCCUCCUAAAGAGUAACGGAGGAGCACGAAGGUUGGCUAAUCCUGGUCGGACAUCAGGAGGUUAGUGCAAUGGCAUAAGCCAGCUUGACUGCGAGCGUGACGGCGCGAGCAGGUGCGAAAGCAGGUCAUAGUGAUCCGGUGGUUCUGAAUGGAAGGGCCAUCGCUCAACGGAUAAAAGGUACUCCGGGGAUAACAGGCUGAUACCGCCCAAGAGUUCAUAUCGACGGCGGUGUUUGGCACCUCGAUGUCGGCUCAUCACAUCCUGGGGCUGAAGUAGGUCCCAAGGGUAUGGCUGUUCGCCAUUUAAAGUGGUACGCGAGCUGGGUUUAGAACGUCGUGAGACAGUUCGGUCCCUAUCUGCCGUGGGCGCUGGAGAACUGAGGGGGGCUGCUCCUAGUACGAGAGGACCGGAGUGGACGCAUCACUGGUGUUCGGGUUGUCAUGCCAAUGGCACUGCCCGGUAGCUAAAUGCGGAAGAGA
rnacentral:rRNA from 1 species